rnacentral:rRNA from 1 species
UCCCCCAGUAACUGCGAGUGAAAAGGGAAGAGCCCAGCGCCGAAGCCGCCGUCCAUUAAAGUGGGCGGAGGGCAAUGUGGCGUUAAGGAAGAGCCUCCUUGACCUGACGUUUCGUUGUUCGGACCGCGGGAGCCCGAGUCCCCCUGACCGGGGCCACGGCCCAUGGCGGGUGCAAGGCCUCUUCGGCUCCGUUCGACGGUUCGAAGGUUGCUGGCUUCUUUCCUCAGAGUCGGGUUGCUUGAGAGUGCAGCCCUAAGCGGGUGGUAAACUCCACCUAAGGCUAAAUAUCACCACGAGACCGAUAGCGAACAAGUACCGUGAGGGAAAGUUGCAAAGAACUUUGAAGAGAGAGUUCAAGAGUACGUGAAACCGCUCGGAGGCAAACGGGUGGGCCCUCGAAGGUCGAACGGGGGGAUUCAGCCUGUCGGCGAGCGCUUCCUGAAAAAUGAAAGAACCGUCGAAAAGCAUUCGCGUGCGAAACGGAUCCGAAAUCAAAGCGGACCGGGCGGCAGGAAAUGAAAUAGAGAAAAAGCGUUCGUCGGCUCGUGCACUUCCCCCUCAGUAGGACGCCGCGACCGGUCGGGUGCAAAAACGUCGCCAAAAGCGGCUUGCGGCCAUGAGGCGAGAACGUAUCGCGGGGGCAGGUGUCCGUUUCCUCGGGUUUCGGCUUGUCGGCUCUCACGGGCCGGCUCGCAGUCUCUCGGGUUCGGAGUUAUAGCCCCUUCUCGACCCGUGCACCGCCACCCGACCGACAAAUGGUCACGAAAUCCGUAGACGCGUGCCCGCGACGCGGUGCCGCUUCGGCGGUUGCCGCGUGCGCUCGCCCUAAUCCAGGGCAGGCAGGAUGCGUGAGUAAAAAUCCCACCUAAACCCGUUUAAAACGCGGGCAGGGGAUCCGACGGGCGCCGAAAGCAAAAAACCGAAAAGGCGGUCGUCGGCUCCGCGUCUGCCGUUACGCCCACGUGGAGUUGGAAUCUGGCGUAGAGGCAAAAAUUAAAAAAAAACGCUUGCGGUCGGCGGCGAGUAGNNNNNNNNNNNNNNNNNNNNNNNNNNNNNNNNNNNNNNNNNNNNNNGUCGUAGGGUCUGCUUUUGAAAACGAGCUAAACCCGAUGGCGAAAUGAAAGUAAAGGCCGGCCCCUCGUCGAGUCUCUCUUCCUCUCUUUUUUUCCGCUCUCCCUUCGCGGGGUCUGUUGGGGGAAGGAGCAAGGGGUCUGACGAGGCGGGGGGAAUGUGAACGGCCGAGGCGAGAUCCUAAAUGAGCCCGUCGCUUCGGCGGCGCGGCGAAAUUUGCAAAAGAAACCGGACAUUGUAGGCACGCUCGGUUAUGCGGCGGAGGUCUGGUUGGCAACAGCCUCUCUUCCUCGCUGCCGCGGCGGUCCGGAGGCGCAUCGCCGGCCCGUCUCGAUCGCAUCCGAUCGGCUUCUUCCUUUUGUCUCACGGCGCUUUUCUUCUCGUUGCGCUGCGGCGUGCUCUCGCUCUCGGGCGGAAGCGUGUCGUCGUCGCGCGGGUCGGAUCGUGCACGCGCAGCGAUCGGGGAGCCGAGAAGAACUUUUAGUCGACGAGGCGGAGCAAGAGCACACACGUUGGGACCCGAAAGAUGGUGAACUAUGCCCGGGCAGGACGAAGCCAGAGGAAACUCUGGUGGAGGUCCGCAGCGAUUCUGACGUGCAAAUCGAUCGUCGGACCUGGGUAUAGGGGCGAAAGACUAAUCGAACCGUCUAGUAGCUGGUUCCCUCCGAAGUUUCCCUCAGGAUAGCUGGCACUCGGGAAAAAAAUAAAGAAAUAAUAAUGAAUGAAACAGUCUCAUCCGGUAAAGCGAAUGAUUAGAGGCAUUGGGGCCGAAACGGCCUCAACCUAUUCUCAAACUUUCAAUGGGUGAGAUGUCCGGCUUGCUUAACGUGAUAAAAAAGACGGGGGGGCCGGCGGGCUAGUUCGAUUCGUUUUCUGAACGGAGAGGAUCCCGCCGGUCUAGCCUUGAGCACGGACGUAGGAUGCGA